GGUUAAGCGACUAAGCGUACACGGUGGAUGCCCUGGCAGUCAGAGGCGAUGAAGGACGUGCUAAUCUGCGAUAAGCGUCGGUAAGGUGAUAUGAACCGUUAUAACCGGCGAUUUCCGAAUGGGGAAACCCAGUGUGAUUCGUCACACUAUCAUUAACUGAAUCCAUAGGUUAAUGAGGCGAACCGGGGGAACUGAAACAUCUAAGUACCCCGAGGAAAAGAAAUCAACCGAGAUUCCCCCAGUAGCGGCGAG
rnacentral:rRNA from 1 species